rnacentral:tRNA from 1 species
GGGAAUGUAGCUCAGUGGUAGAGUGCUUGCCUAGCAUGCAUGAAGCCCUGGGUUCGAUCCCUCAGUACCA